rnacentral:lncRNA from 1 species
UUAGUUACAGGAACCGUCUGCAAGGCAGACGCUCCUCCCCGAGAAAUGCGAUUCCGCGUUUCUCGCUCGGAAACGCAAUGGGAGCGCGAUCCCAAGAGACGGAAACGCGAUCCUAAGGAAGAUGGGAGCUUAUCUGUGAUUUCUGGUCGCCGUCGUAGUUAACAGAUUCUGACGAGAUAGAUCUGCACCUUGCCUGACUCCGACGAAGCUUCUUGUGACCUCCGGCGCCUAUAUCGAAGCCUCCAGCGCCUGAAUCGAACCUCCGGCGCCGGAGGGUGCCUAGAUCGAACCCUCCGCCGUGACCCUUUCUCUCUCUCUCCC